UUUCCUACUCACCUAGACUGCUCCAUUCGUACGCUCUCAUCUCUCAAACACUCGAUGGUUUCUCUCACUAACAAUGGAGGAGAUUACGGUGAGAGGGUUCGAUUUGUCAGUCUCGUCUACUCUAUCCUAUGGAUUCACGAUGAAGAUGAUACACUUUGAAGCAUAAACUGACCCUCCGGUCUACAAAAUACUUCCAAUCUGAGGUGUUGAAUCCAUAGUCAAAGCCCCGAAUUGGAGUCUUCACCGGGUUUCUCGUCAUCUACAGUUGAACCCGGUGAACACUAUACUUCACCGGAGUCCAUGUGUAGACAGAGAUCGAAGAUUGGUGCUAAGAAAUUUGUGUGAAGAUACACAGUGGAUUUCAGAUCAUCUCUACAAUUUCUACCAAAUUGGGUAGCCAGGACUUGAAAUCGGUGGUUUAGACGUGCAAAGGUAAGCAAAUACAAUCUAUGAUGGUUAAAAAGAAUUUGAAGAGAGCUGUAAUUGAUAAGUUAGUGUCACAUGUUUUAAGUCCCUAAUCAGCUGUGUUUAACACAUUGGUACUUACAGUUGCAGCGCACGGAUCAAAGAUAAGUUUUAAGAACCUAAUCAGCUCUCACUCUACUUCAAUAUACAUAAGUUUUACCCAGAAUACUAUUCUUUCAUUGUUUCUAAAUAAGAUGGUAAUUAUAAGCAUCAUUUGCCUGCUAGUCAUAUUUUCACUUAUGAGUUGUUGACUAAACUGCAGGUAAGCUGCUACACAAUCUAUGAUGGUUAAAAAGAAUUUGAAGAGAGCUCUAAUUGAUAAGUUAGUGUCAACACGUUUUAAGUCCCUAAUCAGCUCUGUUUAUGCACAUUGGUACUUUCAGUGGUACUUUCAUGAGCAAAGAUAAGUUUUAAGUCCCCAAUCAGCUCUCACUCUACUUCAAUAUACAUAAGUUCCCUCCUCGUGCUAUAUUAUUUCAUUGUUUCUAAUGGACUCUAUAUAACAUGCAGGUUAGCAAGAUGAUCUGCAAAAUGUUAUGAUUGCUGAACUGACCUGAAGUUGUGCUUGUCUUUUUAAUUUCAUCUAGAUGGUUCAAUCUGGAAGCCAAAAUGCUUUGGUGAAACUGGUUACCAAACUGGAGAAGUGGUUUUCAAUAAGUCAUUGACAGGCCUCUGUGCAACAACUUGGAGAGGACUUUCAGCUUCAUUGGCUUGGUCAAUGUCCUAAAAAAUCAUAAGUUGAAACUAAAUGAUCCUCAUAACAGGGAAAGCAUUGAGAUAGUUUUGAAACUGUUCUUUGCGAAUAGCAAUUCGAAAGAGAAGAUUCAAUCCAAUUAGAGUUUCAAGCUCCUUAGGUACCCCCUUUCGACCCUGCAGGUUUGAGAUAUACAUAGUAUCAGUUGCACAGACAUACCCUAUGACCUUAUACAGAGUUUGAGAUGAAUACAGAGUAUGGGUUGCACAAACAUACCCACAGAACUUAUACAGAGUUAGAGGAUUUCUAUUUAGUUAAUGAGAUAAGCACCCACUUGUACACUUCAAUUUAUUUGUCUAUUAGCUUUCAAAUAGUUAUAUAGGACUGUACAGUUAUGUGCUACUUUAUUUUUAUAAAUUAUAAUGCCUAAUUAUUAAAUGCAGAUUACAAAGGUCAGAAGUUGGCACUCCUAUAACACAUGAUUAUACAUGAGAAGAUUAAGGUACUACUACUAAGGAAUUUGAUAUGCUCGCACGACGCGUAGCCUAAGAGCCUGUCUAGUAUUAAUUAGAGAUAUUUGGCUGGCAAGGAUAAACAUCUUGAAGUGGGGCAGAAAAUUGAGAGAGGAUGUUGUAUACAGAUUGCGGAUGUGUUCAGUAGCUUGAAUUGUGUUAAGUAUGUUUAUGCUGUAUAUAUAAGGUCUGAUGACCUUUCGUUAUAUUUACCUUCGAAAUAAUUGUUGGAAUUUUUAGCUAAAAUGGCAUUUUGAGUGAUUAUUUUGUGGUACAAA